GCAGCUGAACUGGAAAAAUCAAAUAAAGGCAAUGAUGGAGCUCUAAGAUCAGCACCGUUAGGUGGUGUAUUAUCAUUAAGUGACUUUCUUUACCGCUCAGAUGCAAAUAGUGAUGUUUCACAAGAUGGGCUGAGAUCAGAAAGAGAAGAUUCUGAUUAUGAUGAGGAGGUGGAGCUGGACUUUGAAACCUUAUCAGGUGAUGAAGCCCAUGAUGUCGAUUCCAACGUUCUACAUGGAAGUUUAAAUCUUAGAAUACAUAGACGAGUUGAUCCAGCAAGAGAAAGGGUUGGCCCAAAUGGC
rnacentral:misc_RNA from 1 species